CGCAGCCGGCCGUCCUCGUCCAGGGGCGCAGGCCUGAGCCGCUGCAGUUGCUGGGGGGCUGGCCGUGGCCGUGGACCCUCUCUCUGCUGGUGCUAGGUGUGCUGACUGAUCUGGGGCUUCAGGAACAGGGCUGUGCCGGCAGGAAGCCUUGGUGAGCAGGCGCGCGGGCUGGGCCCCAAGGAUGACAGCGCCCAGGAGAGGUGAGUGCAUCCCCAGGGUGCCCCAGGGAGAGCCCGGCCCAGCGUCCUCUA
rnacentral:lncRNA from 1 species